rnacentral:rRNA from 1 species
UACGUAGGGUCCGAGCGUUGUCCGGAAUUACUGGGCGUAAAGCGCACGUAGGCGGCUUUGUAAGUUAGAGGUGAAAGCCCAGGGCUCAACCCUGGAAUUGCCUUUAAGACUGCAUCGCUUGAACAUCGGAGAGGUAAGUGGAAUUCCGAGUGUAGAGGUGAAAUUCGUAGAUAUUCGGAAGAACACCAGUGGCGAAGGCGACUUACUGGACGAUUGUUGACGCUGAGGUGCGAAAGCGUGGGGAGCAAACAGG